AUGCUGCCCACAGUGUGUGAGGACCCCACAGGGGAAGGCAUUCCUGGCAAGGUCUUCUAUGUAGUCCAGGCUGGCCUCCAACUUGCAACAAUCCUCCUGCUUCAGCCUCCCAAGUGCUGGGAUGACAGGCACCAUGAAGAAUCCUGGACUGACCACUCAACCCGAGGAAGAGCCUUUCUCACAGGAAGCCCACCUGCCCCUCCAGGUGCUCCAGUCCCAUUGAUGGUCAGACACAGCAGGAAUCUUUCCAGCCACACCUGCUAGUUCUGAGGCGCUUGUAUUUUGGUGGAAAUAUAAAUAUUUGUUUCACAACUAAUUCUUUUGGAAAUUUUAUUUCAGCAAACACUAUUCGUCGAGACCCAUGGUCUAGUAACAUCUGUAUUCUGUAUGUGUACAUAUCUGGGUUAUGGGACUAGGCUAUUCUCAAUUUCAUGUGGACACAAAAACCUCCAGGUAGGGCCAGCGAUUUAGCUCAGCGCUGCUGUGCCUGUUUCAGAAGUGCAAGGUCCUGAGUUCAUUCCCUGGUACGAAAAACCAAAACAAAACCUCCAGCUGCUGUUCCUCAGUCCUAGGACUAUUCUCAUCUGGGGGCAGGCUGCUGCCUGAGGUGCUGUGCCUGCUCUCAUGGCAGACUUGGCAGUAAACAUGGGCAAACACAGCCACUUCUCCUGUUUCUUUUUCUACCAUCAGAUAUCAGGUAAAUUUACUUCCAAGCUGGGCAGCUACCUGAGGCAGGAGGAUUUAAGUCUGAGAACAGCUUGGGCAAUUUAGCAAGACUUUACCUCAAAAUCAAAUGAAGCCAUAUGAUGUUAUUAUUGUGUAUAUCUAAACUGUACCAAUAAAAUUAAUUAAUUAGAAAAGAAAAACAAAACCAAAAAACUCACAAAGGGGAAGGAAGAAGAGAGGAACAGAGCAGAAAACAGCAUGCCCCAAGAUGUCUGGUAUUCUAGUUUCCUUUGAGGACUUUGGUUUAAUGCAGGCUCUGGAUUUUUGCACCCCCCCCCCCAAGGGUUUUAUACUGAAUUCCUCACUCGUCCAUGCUAUUCUCUGUAGGAGAGUCAGAGGGGUCUUCCUAAGACACAAGACAAAUACAACACUCACGUGUUCUGAAGGCUUGAGACGUUCCCCAGAAAUCUUAGGUAAUUCUCAACCCUUUAGUCUUCCCCUAUAUCCCUGCUGCCUGUAGGGGGGGAAUUUGGUGAAAGGUCCUUAGAACUUUGACCAUCCAUUCCCUGCUACUCGUUCUGGUCCUGGGGUUUGAAAGGAGGCCUUGCGUAUGUUACGCAAGUGCUCUAUCACUGAGUCACUUCUCCAGUCCUCAUCAAAUUCAUCAUGCAAGCUGAGAGUCCUCGUGUUUGACACUUUGACUUGGCUCAUUCUAGAAGAGCCAUUAAAACCCCUCUUCUCUUGGGCUAGGGAUUUAGCUCAGUGGUUCAACCACCUGCCUCACAAGCUAAGGACACGAGUUCAAUCCCCGGUACCAAAAAACCCCUCUUCUCUCUGAGAUUAAUCAUUUUAUAUCUACUGUUUUAUUUUUGGAACGACAUAUAACUGUGGAACAUAAUUAAGUUUUGUCUUCAAA
rnacentral:lncRNA from 1 species